rnacentral:rRNA from 1 species
GACGAACGCUGGCGGCGUGCCUAAUACAUGCAAGUCGAACGAACGGAUUGAGGAGCUUGCUCUUCAUGAAGUUAGUGGCGGACGGGUGAGUAACACGUGGGUAACCUGCCUCAUAGAGUGGAAUAGCCUUCCGAAAGGAAGAUUAAUACCGUAUAACGUUGAAAGAUGGCAUCAUCAUUCAACCAAAGGAGUAAUCCGCUAUGAGAUGGACUCGCGUCUGAUUAGCUAGUUGGCGGGGUAACGGCCCACCAAGGCGACGAUCAGUAGCCGGACUGAGAGGUUGAACGGCCACAUUGGGACUGAGACACGGCCCAG